UACGUAGGGUGCAGGCGUUGUCCGGAAUUAUUGGGCGUAAAGAGCUCGUAGGCGGUUUGUCGCGUCGAAUGUGAAAACCCGGGGCUCAACCCCGGGCCUGCAUUCGAUACGGGCAGGCUAGAGUUCGGUAGGGGAGUCUGGAAUUCCUGGUGUAGCGGUGAAAUGCGCAGAUAUCAGGAGGAACACCGGUGGCGAAGGCGGGACUCUGGGCCGAUACUGACGCUGAGGAGCGAAAGCGUGGGGGGCAAACAGG
rnacentral:rRNA from 1 species